rnacentral:rRNA from 1 species
CCUACGGGUGGCAGCAGUGAGGAAUAUUGGUCAAUGGACGAGAGUCUGAACCAGCCAAGUAGCGUGAAGGAUGACUGCCCUAUGGGUUGUAAACUUCUUUUAUAUGGGAAUAAAAUGUUCCACGUGUGGGAUUUUGUAUGUACCAUAUGAAUAAGGAUCGGCUAACACCGUGCCAGCAGCCGCGGUAAUACGGAGGAUCCGAGCGUUAUCCGGAUUUAUUGGGUUUAAAGGGAGCGUAGGUGGGUUGUUAAGUCAGGUGGGAAAGUUUGCGGCUCAACCGUAAAAUUGCAGUUGAAACUGGCAGUCUUGAGUACAGUAGAGGUAGGCGGAAUUCGUGGUGUAGCGGUGAAAUGCUUAGAUAUAACGAAGAACUCCGAUUGCGAAGGCAGCUCACUGGACUGCAACUGACACUGAGGCUCGAAAGUGUGGGUAUCAAACAGGAUUAGAUACCCGGGUAGUC